rnacentral:rRNA from 1 species
GAUGAACGCUGGCGGCGUGCUUAACACAUGCAAGUCGAACGGAAAGGCCUCUUCUUGCCGGGGUACUCGAGUGGCGAACGGGUGAGUAACACGUGGGUGAUCUGCCCUGCACUUCGGGAUAAGCCUAGGAAACUGGGUCUAAUACCGGAUAGGAUACUGGUUAGGAUGCCGAUGUGGAGAGCUUUGCGGUGUGGGCUGGGCUAGCGGCCUAUCACCUUGUUGGUGGGGUACUGGCUUACCAAGGGCGCGACGGGUGGUCGGCCUGGGAGGGUGUACGGCCACCAUAGGACUGAGGUACGGCGCAGAGGCGAACGUGGGGCAGCGGGGGGGAGUAUGACCCAACGGGCGCAAGCCUGUGACGAAGGCGCUGCGUUGGUAAAGACGUCUUUCGGGUAGUGAACAGCUUUCGCUAAAGACGAAGCGCAAGUGACGGUACCUGGAGAAGAAGCACCGGCUAACUACGUG